CCUGUUUGAGGGUCGGUA
rnacentral:rRNA from 1 species